rnacentral:rRNA from 1 species
CAAACUUGGUCAUUUAGAGGAAGUAAAAGUCGUAACAAGGUUUCCGUAGGUGAACCUGCGGAAGGAUCAUUAUCGAGUUUUGAACGGGUUGUAGCUGGCCUCUCACGAGGCAUGUGCACGCCUGGCUCAUCCACUCUUAACCUCUGUGCACUUUAUGUAAGAGAAAAAAAUGGUGGAAGCUUCCAGGAUCUCGCGAGAGGUCUUCGGUUGAACAAGCCGUUUUUCUUUCUUAUGUUUUACUACAAACGCUUCAGUUAUAGAAUGUCAACUGUGUAUAACACAUUUAUAUACAACUUUCAGCAACGGAUCUCUUGGCUCUCGCAUCGAUGAAGAACGCAGCGAAAUGCGAUAAGUAAUGUGAAUUGCAGAAUUCAGUGAAUCAUCGAAUCUUUGAACGCACCUUGCACUCCUUGGUAUUCCGAGGAGUAUGCCUGUUUGAGUCUCAUGGUAUUCUCAACCCCUAAAUUUUUGUAAUGAAGGUUUAGCGGGCUUGGACUUGGAGGUUGUGUCGGCCCUUGUCGGUCGACUCCUCUGAAAUGCAUUAGCGUGAAUCUUACGGAUCGCCUUCAGUGUGAUAAUUAUCUGCGCUGUGGUGUUGAAGUAUUUAUGGUGUUCAUGCUUCGAACCGUCUCCUUGCCGAGACAAUCAUUUGACAAUCUGAGCUCAAAUCAGGUAGGACUACCCGCUGAACUUAAGCAUAUCAAUAAGCGGAGGA